GAUUUGCUCGAGAGUAAUCAGGCUGCAAAGGGUGCCAAUGGUAUUGCUACCCUCUACUGUUCUUGUUCUACUUUAAAAACUACUAGAACAUUGCGGCGCCCUUACGGGCGCCCUAUCGAGACAACAACAUUGUUUCUUUAGCAGUGUUGCUCUGUACAAGGAUACUUCAUACUUGUGAGCAUAUGUGAUGUAAAUGGAGACAAAAGAAAAUUUUAUUACAUGCAUUUCCAUUUGGGAUGUAAAAAAGGUGUCUAUCUGUAGGAUCAAACCAAUUGGACUUCCAAGUCUUAAUUCAUAGAACCACUACUUGGCAGGAUAAUUGUCACUCUCAGAACCUCUUUGUUGUGUCUUAGUUCUAUGCCACUGCCAUUGAAUCUUUCAUACUGUCAUACAGAAUUUAAAGAUCUUUUGCCAUAUCAGUGAAUAAUUCUAUUUAUGUAAUCAGUUUCUCAGAGGCUUGACGUAUUAGUAAACUUUGAUUUUUUUAUCAGAAAGAAACCUGACCUUCAGGAAUGGUUCCUUAAUUUGGUUGGCUCUGGCAGCACUGGUAAGUGACGUUAAUAGUGCAUUGUGGGAGUUGUGGCCAAAGAUACUAACAUUUCUUUUCUCAAAUUACUCAUUGACAUUCCUACCCAAUUGGUAAACAUGAAGCUUUUUUGCCCUAAAAAAUAAAAUUACUACAUACACCAAAAUAUAAAGAAUAAGUGAAUAAAGUGACUUUUUAACUUGACCUGCAUUCUUGUAGGAGCAGAAUGAAGAACAGCAUUAAGGAGUCCAAGAAUAGUUUGUCUUUCCUAUUCCUAGAGGGUCCUACAAAUAAGCAGAUAAAACCUACAAGAAACAACAUAAUCAAACAAUCAAACAUUACUGUUAAAUGGUGUAUGUUGUUCAAUCUACAUGUCAUUCAAAAGAAAAGCAUAUAGCUAAGACAGCUCAUGUAUCUACAAUAUUUUCAUAUAACUAAUCAAGAUAGUUAAUCAUUAACAAUGUAAAUUAAUAGUGGUAAAAAAUAAGAGACCUAAAUAAGAACAAAGGAUUUGCGUGAAAGACCUGCUAAGAGAAAAAUGAAGUUUUAAAAAUACUCGCCUUCAGUAUCCACAACAAGCUAUUUUGACUUGCAAUAAUGGAAGCAAAAUGUUCUUGUAGACUCCAUAGGCUCUGCAACAUUCAGAUCUUGAUUUUUACCUGCCACAAAAGUUGAAAUAUGUAAGCCACCAGCACGCAGUUUCUACAUACACCACACGCGGCCAAAACAUAGAUAAAAAAUCUUGGCAACUCACCAGCAAAUUAAGAAUAAGCAACAUGGUGAGGUGAGGAAAAAACAAACUGCAGUCGUGCACACCCUAACCUUCCUUGUCAUCACCACGUCCCUAGAUGAUAUGUGCCUUGACCUCCUCAAGACCUCAAAGAGCAGUGGCUGAAAUACCUUGAGGUACUUAGCCGCCGAGACAUAUGUCUUCUUCACACACUGGAGCACAUUGGCCUGCUUGCCGCACUGAGCCAAGAGCUCGAGAAGGUUAGGGAUUUAGAAGGUACCUGACUGGUGGCACGAGGCAACCGGGCAUAAGCAGUGGCGCCAGCAGCGUGGGUGGCAGCAAGCGCGACACGAGACCCUUUGUGCUGAGAUCCAAGACGCACUCUUUGGCACCAGCAAUGUCCCAAAGCUUCGCCCCAUCGAACGCAGAGGACGCAGGGCCAGCUCGAGCGACGACACCGAGGUCAGAACUCAGGAUGAGGCAACGGGAGGGACGUCGUCAGAAUCUGAAUGGGCGGUGGGACGAUGGUCUGGUGGGUCAGACCAUCGGAGUGGGGAGAGGGGCAUACCGCGGACGUGACACACGGCCGCACGGGCACAAGCACAACUCAGCUGAAACAAAGAAAAAAUUUUUGGGUCCGACCACUGGGGCACGCGUCGGCUCACGAAAGGUUAUUCGGGCGUGAAGCACGGAGAGGCGCUCAAACUCGAGCGGCUUUUAAUACUUUAGAUGACAUGCCAUCCAUGACGGGCUGAAGAGUGCAAGGUGAGAACAAAAGGUUGUUUGUAGAGAUUAGGGGGAUGCAGUUAUGCAAUCACCAAUUUAUAUACUCAAGUUUUUGUCUUUUUAAUCUAUUUAGUAAUUCAUUUGAGACUAUGGAUUUAUUUCUGGAUUUUUUCUGAUAUUUUAAGGGAGUAACAUUAUCUUCUAUUGAUUCUUAGUGUCCUUUCGUCAGUUCCAGUUUCUUAAAAAAUGUAGAAACAAUAUCGGGUUGACAUGAGUUUGGGUUCUUAAUUAUUCCUCAAUGCCAAAUAAACCUUGGGUCCUAACUAUCUUGUGCUUGUGUGUAGCCUGACAGUCACUGGACAUAUCAUCUUUGUUCUCCAACAGAAGGAGCGUCACAGGUUAUGACCUCUUCUACGAGCACACCCUGACCUUGACUGAAUCUUUGUGUGGCUUCCAGUUUGUUUGUUGUCACUCACUUGGAUAACAGGCAGCUUCUGAUCAAAUAAAAUCUGGAUGAAGUUGUGAAGCCUGGUGGGUGGAUCUGAACAUGAAAGGUAUCACUUCUCGAGGCACGGUGCAUGCAAAUAUAACACAAGUUUGUAUCGAACUGACAAAACGAACUCGAAGCUUCUGUUGUGUACAUUUUUCAGAUUGGAAAAUGGAUGGCCUCCAUCUCUCUCUAUAUGCAUUUAAAAGUAAGUACCGAGGAAAUCUGCUACACUAUCCGGAUAUUGGUUUAUUAUCCCAAAUCGUGAUAAAGGAGAAUCGUUUUUUUAGAUGGCUGAAAUACAAUAAGUACCGAGGAAAUUGUCUGAUACUGGAGUGUAGACUUAUGCUGAAGGAAUGUUUAGAACAAACAUGAUGGUGUCAACAUGAAGUUGAGAUAUAUGAAUUAAUUAUGGAGGAUUGAGUGUCUGUCAGUCCAUGCAACAUGCAAAUAGCGUAUAUCUGGUGAGGCAACGAAUGGGGGAAAUAAUAAAUAAAUACUAACAAAAAUAUAUUUUCCUGAAAGCUUAUACUAGCUUACCUUUGUUCAUUUUUUUGAAGCUAUCUUUUUAGGCUCGGAGUCAACAACAGGAAGUGCUCUCAUUCUAUGCUUCAUUUUCAGAACAUGAAGUGGUUUUGGAAGCUGUGCAUAAAAGGAGGUGCAGGACUUGUAGCCAAUGGAAUGUAACUGGAAGGGAACAAUGCUGCUUGUCUCAAGGCGCUUGUCCGUGACGCCGUCGGCGCCCGACUCCGGGGGCGAUGGGAAGAGUUGCGUUUCAUUACACGGGACACCAGGACGGGAGGGGGAAGAGGAACAAUCUCAUGAUCUCACCUUUUUUCCUCAUCUGACAUAAUUCUCUCUCGGCAGGUGCAACUGCUGCAUCAGCCACAUCAUUUGAUUAAUCCAUUUUUAUGAUCAGAUUCCCACUGGUGGCGGCUCUCCUCUCUCUGAGAAAACCGACCCUCUUGGUACCAUUUCUGCUGCUCCAUGGGGAUCUGCUUUGAUUAUGCCAAUUUCCUACACAUAUAGCCAUGAUGGGCUCACUGAUGCUUCAAAGAUUGCGAUCUUGAAUGCAAACUACAUGGCAAAACGUCUAGAGAAACACUACCCAGUUCUGUUCCGUGGAGUCAACCGAACUAUUUUCCGUUGAAAAUACCGUCACCACAGUCUGCUAUCUUCAGUUUUAGUUUCACUUUAGUUUACCUUUAGUUUCAGUUGCAGGUUAUCUUCAGUUUCAGUUUUAGUUUCUCUUCAAUUUCAUUUUACGUGUGUACUCAGUUUCAGUUUACCGGUGUACUCAGUUUCAGUUUCAGUUUACCUGUGUACUCUUUGACGUUGUUUUUCCAUUUGUCUUGUUUCCUCUAUGAAUACUAGUGCGCUAAUUUAUAUUACUUUCGAAAAUAGAUGUGAGGCUCAUUCAUUAGUGCAUAUGCUGAUCGUGGCUAUGAAAUAAAGUUAUAAACAAAUCACUAUAACGCCCAUUUAUUUGACGUGGAUAGAUUCAAAACAAAACUACAACCUAUAUUUAGAGAGCUGUUGGAGAACUAACAAUUUUGAACUCCUAAAGUUAGUUAGCAACUUCAUAAAUUUGUGAUUUAGGGAGUUAAAAUUUACAUAACUAUUGGAGCUGCUCUUAUAUCUGAAUCAAAUUCAGAACUGAACCAUGCAUCGAUGCAUUGCGGUCUCUAGCCGUCUCCCUAGAACUUUGUCAGGUGACUGCUUGUAUAGAGCCGGAGGAUGUGGCAAAGCGCUUGAUGGACUAUGGGUUUCACGCACCGACUAUGUCAUGGCCUGUUCCUGACACACUUAUGAUUGAACUAACUGAAAGUGAGAGCAAGGUAAGUGUCGGUGUUUCGAACCUCGCUCCGACAAGUAAAUUUAUUGUGCGCGUUCCGGGCUCCGGAGGUUGUGCGCGGUGGGCGCAAGAUUUAAACUGGUUCGGGCAGAACGUCCCUACUUCCAGUCAUCGGCGGCUUGCGCUACCGGCACCAUUAAUGAUCGAAACUCAUAGUAGGGGUUACAAGCGGGCGAGAGGGAGGAGGCUCCCAAGUCUCUUUAUCGGGGUGGCAGUGGAGCUUUGAAGCUACAGAGUGGAGUCCUAGCUAAAUCUUGGCUUGGUGGCGGGGCUCCGGCCUCCUGGUCCUUAUCGGCGCUCCUCCUCCUCCUGUUCGCCCUAGUGGGUGCGUGUCCGAGUGAGCUCGGUUCCGUCUGAAACGUCGUCUGGCUGCCUCCGACUUGCCUGGAGGUCAACCCCUCCCUUUUUAUAGGCUGGGAGAGGGGUCGGAUAGCGGUGGCUUCCUUGGGAAGGAGCCGUAAGGCAAGGGUAAAACCAGCGUUCUACUCGGGGUAAAGCCACGCGUACUCGUGGGGCCCGGGGUUGCCUGGCUGUCUCGUAUUUACCGUGGCAGACGGCGCGUGGCUGCGAGGGUCCCAGGCGCCAUCAUUUAGGCUACGCCGACCCCUGGCCUCCGUAGCCUGGGGCUCGGCGCGGCCCGUCGUGUUGCACCCUGCCAGAGGUCUGCGUGCUCAGGCCUAGUCCGAUAGGCCAUGAGUGCGCCGUAGGCCGAGGGGCGCGCGGACCAUAAAUGUGCCGCAGUCCGGGGGGGCUCGUAGGUCAUGAGUGCUGUGCGGACCGAGGGGUUCGUAGGUCAUGAGUGGAAAGCGGACCGGCACCCACGCUGUGGCUCGGUGCCAGGCGUGGUUAAUGCGGCCGGUCAUUUACGACAGGUCAGUCUGGGGCCGGGCACGGGAUCCACUCGAGUGGUUCCCUUCCGACACGCCUGGCCCCUCCUGUCAGGUUCCACCACGUUCGACCCCGGGCUCGGUGCCGCGGGGCUCCACCGGGGGUGAGUUCUUUCAGGGUUGACGUAUCCACCUCUUCCAGCUGACCGGCAGGCCCCAACGGCCAGGGGCUCUUCCCUCAGUGCGCUCUCUGACCGGCGGGUCCCGAAGACCGGGGAUCGUAUUCCCGACAGUAAGCAUGUGUAGCUUUUAACCAUCCUUUGCUUCCUGUUCUAUCAAUCAGUUAGUUGAUUUCACAUUAGCUUAUGAUAUCGUACCAUUUUGUCUUGGCGGGCCGAGCUGGACAGGUUCUGUGAUGCUCUUAUCUCCAUCGGGGAAGAGAUUGCAGAGAUAGAAAAUGGCAAAGCAGAUGUGCUCAACAAUGUCCUGAAGAUAAUGUCUCAUUAGUGUCAAAUGGUGGUAUCAAUUAGCUGGCAACUAUUUGCCAUAUCAAGCCAUAUCUCUCUCCACAGUCAGCCAAUAUUUUUUAGUUACCAUCUACUAACAAUCAACCAAUAUUUUUAGCUUAAAUACCAUGAUUCUAGAAGAGAAACGGUGGUGCUUAACUUGCAGUUUGCCUCUUUCAUUUGAUCAAUUCCCCACUUCUGUUCUUAGAUUUACACUCAAAUCUGACACAUUGUACUUGUUUUUGUCCAUUUCUCAACUUCCAAUGCCUUUGCUCAAUUAAUUUUUAUAAAAUUAUAUGAACUUCUAUGACCUUUCUACAUGUGUUUUUGAUGGAAACGAAGCCAAUUACAGUUAUGUUCUACAGGUGGAAAUAUGUGUUGUGCUAUAUGGCAUGCCUGAUUUGCUUCUCCAGUUGUAAAGUUUUCACUUAAUGUGUUCUUUACACACAUGACGACUAAUAUGAGCAGUUCUGUUGCAGAAAAAUGGUGAAAUCUAUUGCUAUGGAGUGGAUUCGAUAAACAUUGGAACUCAGAAGGCUGUAUAUCCAUCCCUGACGUGCAGCAAGGACCGUGGCUCCAUGGCCCGUGUGUGUCGUGCUAUCGAGGAGCUUCGGCUCCGGAACAUCACUGCCAACAUCACCUCCAUCGUCGGCUGCCUCAUGCACACCAUCUUCAUCGAGGUACAUCGGCAGGCAGCAUGCAGCACCAGUAUCAGUAUUUGCAUUGUUUGGGAAGCGCACAUUGCUCUGCUUUUCGUGUUGAGUUUUCGAAUGAUUAGGAUGGAUGUAGGUUUGACCGAACAAUUUGACUUUUUUCUCGUUUCUUUUUUAUUAGAAAGGUGGAGUGAAUUAAUCUGAUCAAAAGAAAUCAUUUGAAAUUAAAUAGUGAGAUGGGGUCUGAAUAUCUGAUGUAAAAAUGGGGGUAACAAUGUAUUGGUUGUCGACAAAGAAAUUGUGAAGUAUUAAAGUCGAUAAUAAUAUAUAUGUUGGUCA